CAGUCGCCGCGGUAAUACAGAGGGUGCGAGCGUUAAUCGGAUUUACUGGGCGUAAAGCGUGCGUAGGCGGCUUUUUAAGUCGGAUGUGAAAUCCCUGAGCUUAACUUAGGAAUUGCAUUCAAUACUGGGAAGCUAGAGUAUGGGAGAGGAUGGUAGAAUUCCAGGUGUAGCGGUGAAAUGCGUAGAGAUCUGGAGGAAUACCGAUGGCGAAGGCAGCCAUCUGGCCUAAUACUGACGCUGAGGUACGAAAGCAUGGGGAGCAAACAGGAUUAGAUACCCCUGUAGUCCCUGUCUCUUAUAC
rnacentral:rRNA from 1 species